GACGUAGGGGGCCAGCGUUGUUCGGAAUUACUGGGCGUAACGGGUCCGUAGGCGGUGUGGCAAGUCGGAAGUGACAUCUCAGGGCUUAACCCUGAGGCUGCUUCUGAAACUGCCGUGCUAGAGUGCGAGAGAGGCGAGUGGAAUUGCAGGUGUAGCGGUGAAAUGCGUAGAGAUCUGCAGGAACACCCGAGGCGAAAGCGGCUCGCUGGAUCGCAACUGACGCUGAGGGACGAAAGCUAGGGGAGCAAACAGG
rnacentral:rRNA from 1 species